rnacentral:rRNA from 1 species
AUUGAACGCUGGCGGCAUGCCUUACACAUGCAAGUCGAACGGCAGCACGGGGGCAACCCUGGUGGCGAGUGGCGAACGGGUGAGUAAUGCAUCGGAACGUGCCCAGUAGUGGGGGAUAACCAGUCGAAAGACUGGCUAAUACCGCAUACGACCUAAGGGUGAAAGCGGGGGACCGUAAGGCCUCGCGCUAUUGGAGCGGCCGAUGUCUGAUUAGCUAGUUGGCGGGGUAAGAGCCCACCAAGGCGACGAUCAGUAGCUGGUCUGAGAGGACGACCAGCCACACGGGGACGGAGACACGGCCCAGACUCCUACGGGAGGCAGCAGUGGGGAAUUUUGGACAAUGGGCGCAAGCCUGAUCCAGCCAUGCCGCGUGCGGGAAGAAGGCCUUCGGGUUGUAAACCGCUUUUGGCAGGAACGAAACGGCGCAAGCCAAUACCUUGCGCUAAUGACGGUACCUGCAGAAUAAGCACCGGCUAACUACGUGCCAGCAGCCGCCGUAAAAC